rnacentral:lncRNA from 1 species
UAUCAGAAGAGUCUGUUAGGACUUGCAAAAUAUCAUACAUCUGUGGCUCCGACCAAUUUACACACACAUAACACUACUGCUUCCGCAAGUUUUGUGGAAGAAGACAAAGGGAUGAAGAGGGAAGAAGAGGAUUAGAAGAGGUUUAGAUGGAAGAGAACAAGGGAGAAAAGAAGAUGGAGAUGGAAAAGAGGAACUCUGCCAUUAGCUUGAUAUCCCUCUCGACCUAUCUCUCCACUCUCGAUCUCCCCCUCAGUGAAUGCCUUCUUAGUUCUUUAUAGACAAGUGAAGAAACUAUGCGGACUUCAAUUAGUUUGGAGUCUGGAUGGAUUUCAUCUGGUUUGGAAUCCGAAAGCCUCUGGAUGUGGGAAUCAAAGUUGAAACUUAAUUAAUUUUAAAUCCAAUUUUCUGUAGCAUACAGUGUCAGAAAUCUUCUUAUAAAUGAAUAGUGGUGAUACUAGAAAUCUUCUUGUAGUUUCUUUAUUGUCUUUGGAUCCGACUUCAAUAGUGAUCAUUGUUGAUAUUAUCUCUAGAAGAUGGUGGUGGUCAUCUCAUUGUGGCG